AAUAGAUGUUGGGUUUGAUCAAGCACAAGUUCCUUUGGGUGACAUAACAAAUAAUUAUGAUGCUCACAUGAAUUUUCUUGGUAUGUGAUUUUGAUGUUGCCAAUGCUAUGGACGUUGUAAAAAGAGAAGAGGAGAUAGGCCUUUGUUAAUGCCGCCAAUGUUACAUUUUUCUUUUGUUAAGAUUGUCCUUGUUGUAAAAGAGAAGAGGGGAUAGGCCAUUGUUAAUGCUACCAAUGUUACAUUUUUCUUUUGUUAAGAUUGUCUCUGUUGUAAAAGAGAGGAGGGGAUAGACCAUUGUUAAUGCUGCCAAUGUUACAUUUUUCUUUUGUUAAGAUUGUCUCUGUUGUAAGAGAGAGGAGGGGAUAGACCAUUGUUAAUGCUGCCAAUGUUACAUUUUUCUUUUGUUAAGAUUGUCCCUUUGUAGAAUAGGGGAUAGGCCUUUGAUAUGUAGCAUUUUCCCUUCUUUAAAACAAUUGUACCUUGUGCAAAGUUCAAACUUCUAGAUUUUAAAUCAA